rnacentral:lncRNA from 1 species
UUUUUUUUUUUUUUUCAAUUGAAGUAUAGUUCAUUUACAAUGUUGUGUUGAUUUCAAUUAGAUAGCAGAGCGAUUUGGUUAUAUUCAGUUAUAUAUAGACAUUGUAGAUUAUUACAAAAUAUUGAAUAUAGUUCCCUGUGCCAUACAAUAGGUCCCUGUUGUUUACCUGUUUUAUAUAUAGCAGUACAUCUAUAGAGUGCUUUUUUUUGCAGGGGGGAGGGGGUGGUCUACACCUGUGGCAUAAGGAAGUUCCCAGGCCAGAGGUCAAAUCAGAGCUGCAGCAGCCAGCCUACACCACAGCCAUAGCAACUUGAGAUCUGAGCCACAUCUGUGACCUACACCACAGCUCAGGGCAAUGCCAGAUCCUUAACCCACUGACUGAGGCCAGGGAUCAAACCCACAUCCUCACGGAUACUAGUUGGGUUCACUACCACUGAGCCACGAUGGCAACUCCCUAGAGUGCUUCUUAAUAAGUAUUAAGUUUUCAUUUGAAGUGAUGAAAAAUCUGGAACUGGAGAGUGCUAAUGGUUGUAUGACAUUGUGCAUGUGCUUAAUGCCACUGAAAUUAUAAACUUUAAGUGAUAAAUUUUAUGUUGUGUAUUUUACCACAAUUAAAAAAAAAUAAUGACAACAGCCCACGUGGAAACAGGAUCUCAGAGUUGGUGGUGACCAUGUGGAAAGAACCCCUUGGAAGCAUAUAGACACAGGCAGAAGUGCUUGGGAAUUUUUUCAGGCCCGGAAUGAACAUUCAAGCUGUGAUCUCAUGAGACUGGGCUGUCCAUAUAAAGGACAUGUAAUUUUGUAAAAGAAUCUGCCCCAAAUUGCAGGGAAUGAAAUCCGCUCCCUUGGCAUACCUGUCCUGGCACAGCGGAAACAAAUCUGACUAGUAUCCAAGAGGACGCAGGUUUGACCCCUGGCUUCGCUCCGUGGGUUAAGGAUCCAACGUUGCCGUGAGCUGUGGUGUAGGUCGCAGACGCAGCUCGGACCACUGCGUUGCUGUGGCUGUGGCGUAGACCGGUGGCUAUAGCUCCGAUUAGACCCCUAGCCUGGGAACCUCUAUAUGCUGCAGGUGUGGCCAUAAAAAGACAAGAAAGAAGAAAGAGAGAGAGAGAGAGAGAGAAAGGAAGGAAGGAAUCCACUCCGUUGAGCCCUGGGUGCAGGGCUCUUCUGUCGCUGGUCGCCUGUCUUCAUCUUACAAAGCUCAGCCCAUCUUCUCCCUUCCUCUCCAAGAUGCAGCAGGAGAAACCCCGCUCCGGGCCUUCCAUGGUCACCUUGGCCCCGAAAGCACACAGUGCCCACUUUUCCUCUCAGCAGCCACAAAGCGGAUGUCUUUCCUCAUCGGUUCUGCCUUUGAGUGUUUAUUGCUAAGUCAUUAGUCCACCCCAGCCCGAAGAGCCUCCAAGAGACAUGGCUGGGAAAUGCUAUUUCCUGGGGGGCAGGAGAAGGGAGGAGAGCGGAGGCUGCUUCUCAGGAGCCUGAGAGGCGAAGCUCUCCUCCUGGCUGCACUUAAAUCUCAUCUCCGGCGACAGCAAGGCAAGUGGGCCUAAGAAUGGGCUCCGGCUCCCUCUCUGCACACAAAGGAAAGUGACUAUAGAUGCGCUUUGCAUUCUUCCGUGUUCUUUCCUUUGCAAGGGGCCAUUCUUUUCCUAAUGGAAUCAAGCCUCUCUUUAAAAAAAAAUACACACAGGAGUUCCCAUUGUGGCACAGUGGUUAACGAAUCCGACUAGGAACCAUGAGGUUGCUGGUUCAAUCCCUGGCCUCACUCAGUGGGUUAAGGAUCCAGCGUUGCUGUGAGCUGUGGUGUAGGUCGCAGUUGCUAUGGUUGGAUCCUGCAUUGCUAUGGUUGUGGCGUAGGCUGGUGGCUACAGCUCUGAUUAGACCCCUAGCCCUGGAACCUCCAUAUGCCAAGGGUGCGGCCCUAGGGGGAAAGAAAAAUACACACAGUUCAGUCACUUUCUUUUGUGAGAUUUCAGAAGAGAUGCUUUAUUCGGUUCAGAAAUAUGGCAACAGCUGGAGAACAAAGGCAAAGAACAGAGACUUGCAAUUAUUUGUCGUGUGGGUGGGAGGAGAGAGGGAGGGCUGUGUAAAUGGGGGGAGAAGAGUGGUGGCCGAAGGGACCAGGUGGGAGCAAAUACCCCUGAUUUUUCCUCACAUGUCAGGGCCCUUUCCUCUCUGCAUCCCCUCGGUGGUACUCUCGCCCUUCCCAGCGUCUCAUCACCUUUCCCCCAAACACUCCCUCUUAUCUUAAGAAUCUGGAGCUGUUACUACUGCCUCAAUUCAGGCCUCACAUUUCAAUGUCCCACAGAUGCGGGAUCCAGUUCCUACCUCCCCGGGUACAAUUGUGCUGGCCUGACAGUCUGACCUCAGCCAGUAUCACCACAGAAACUAGUGCCCUUGCUCCCUAUCCAAACCCUCCCACAAGAAUCUCACCCGUGGUGUCUGGAGGUUACGUCAUAACUCAGAGAAAUGAUGGGGAUUUCAGGUGCUUUAUGGGCUGAUGGGGCUUAUAUUUUAAGACAGGUUGGGUCACUGUCAUGUCUUCAAGUUCAAUUGCCUAAGUGGCCUGNNNNNNNNNNNNNNNNNNNNNNNNNNUGCUGAACCAAGGGAACCAGGCAUUGUUGAAAUCUGGGGAGUAAGUUAAGACCUUUACUCCUCCUGGGGCCACCAAGUCAAUGGAGCAGUUUUUUGUACAGUUGAAAGGUCUCUGGGCUUUCUCAGAAAUGCCUGGGAAUGACCACAGGCUUGCCCGCCCCUGGAAUACUCUGGGUGCACACCCACACUCAGGGUUCUGCUGAAGUGGGCACCCCGUUGGCCUGUUCCUCUGAAUUCCUCAACCACCAGACUCUUAGCGUACACCUUCCGGCCCAGGGCCAGCUCCAGUGACAGCUCACCGCCAUUUCCCCAGGACUUUCUCUUGUUGCUUCUUGCCGGGGAAACCAGUUGGACCCCUGGGAAGGACUGGGUAAGCCAUGGUCAAGACACUAUUUUAGUGUGCUCAGCAGUGGGAAAACAGGAUAAAUUGCUGGACUGGCACAGAGCAUGCUACCCAUGAAACACUCUCCGAGGUUAACUCGUCCAAUUUCCGGUUUCUGGGUCAACUUGAAAAACAACCUUAAAUCUGUAGAUGUUUUCAUCACAAAAUGACUAGGAAGUGACGAGCUUUGUGUGUGUGUAUCACCUUUGUCUUUAAUGUUAUUUAAUUGUAAGUCGCCUAAGUGUAAUGUUUAAUGAUGGCUGUGUUUAACCAUUAGCUCACAAAAAUCCCUGAAAAUUGAGGUCAGCUCCUCUAAGCUUGAAUGAGCCAGCUUCAGCCUGUCACAUCCUGACAGUGCCCAUCUUUUUGCCAAAGAGUCAUAAUUUCUUAGAAGGCAGGCUAGACGUUCUACCAGGGCAAGGAGAGUGCCCAUCUGGUUGGUCAUUGAAUCACCCCUGUGGCCCAGUGGCCAUGGGUACUAGGUACCCUCAGUACCUGCUUGUUGACUGAUAGCAAAGACCUAUCUUUGUAACCACAUCAGCCAUUAAAGACUGCUUGGCAAAUAAUAGGCUGCUGGAAAUCCUGGCCGCUUGAACAGUGGAAAAUAAUGGAAUAAGAAAAAAUGCAAUGCAAACUGGUCUUUAGCUUAUUCAUCUUUAUAAGUUUUAUAAAAGUAAAAG